GACGAACGCUGGCGGCGUGCCUAACACAUGCAAGUCGAGCGAGUGGAGUUCUUCGGAACAAAGCUAGCGGCGGACGGGUGAGUAACACGUGGGCAACCUGCCUCAUAGAGGGGAAUAGCCUCCCGAAAGGGAGAUUAAUACCGCAUAAGAUUGUAGCUUCGCAUGAAGUAGCAAUUAAAGGAGCAAUCCGCUAUGAGAUGGGCCCGCGGCGCAUUAGCUAGUUGGUGAGGUAACGGCUCACCAAGGCGACGAUGCGUAGCCGACCUGAGAGGGUGAUCGGCCACAUUGGGACUGAGACACGGCCCAGACUCCUACGGGAGGCAGCAGUGGGGAAUAUUGCACAAUGGGGGAAACCCUGAUGCAGCAACGCCGCGUGAGUGAUGACGGCCUUCGGGUUGUAAAGCUCUGUCUUCAGGGACGAUAAUGACGGUACCUGAAGAAUAAGCACCGGCUAACUACGUGCCAGCCGCCGCGGUAA
rnacentral:rRNA from 1 species